GACGUAGGGCGCGAGCGUUGUCCGGAUUUAUUGGGCGUAAAGAGCUCGUAGGCGGCUUGUUGCGUCGACCGUGAAAACCCGGGGCUCAACUUCGGGCUUGCGGUCGAUACGGGCGGGCUAGAGUUCGGUAGGGGAGACUGGAAUUCCUGGUGUAGCGGUGAGAUGCGCAGAUAUCAGGAGGAACACCGGUGGCGAAGGCGGGUCUCUGGGCCGAUACUGACGCUGAGGAGCGAAAGCGUGGGGAGCGAACAGG
rnacentral:rRNA from 1 species